GGGGGCUGGGGAGGAUUUGGGGGCCGAGGGGGCACUGGGAGGGAUUUGGGGGAGCACUGUGAUCUGUGGGGGGAGGGAAUUUUGGGGGGUCAGGCAGAUUUGUGGGGAUGCACUUUGGGGUUGGGGACUGAUCUGGGGGGUUCUGGGUGGUUUUGGGGUCUCACCACCUUCUCCUUUUCCCCCCAGGACCCCCCCUGGGGCUGCCCCCUCCCCUGGGCCCGGGGCUGCUGGAGCUGCAGCAGAGCUGCUGGGAGAGCUGGAGCCUCUGGGAGGAGGUGGCACACCUGAGGAACAUGUUCGCCCUGGACUGGCAGCCGGAGUUGGGGCUCCUGCAGGUCCUGGGGGGCCCCCAGGGUGCCCAGACCCUCUGGACGCUGCAGGUGGAGCCAGGGUACCCCAAGAGCGGGGGAGUGAAACUGCUGCCCCCCCAAAGGGGCCUCCCCCAUCCCUGCACCCCCAGACCCCCCCACUCUGACACGGUGGCUGGAGCUGCUGGUGGGGGGGGGUUCCUGAAAAGGGGGGAUCCCCCUCCCAUAAAAAACCCCCUGCACCCCAAUAAACUCACGGCCACUCCUUCUCCAGCUCUGUCUCACCCCCA
rnacentral:lncRNA from 1 species